rnacentral:rRNA from 1 species
UACGGGGGGAGCAAGCGUUGUUCGGAUCUACUGGGCGUAGAGGGCGCGUAGGCGGUCAGCACAAGUCAGUUGUGAAAUCUCCGGGCUUAACUCGGAAAGGUCAACUGAUACUGUGCGACUAGAGUGCGGAAGGGGCAACUGGAAUUCUCGGUGUAGCGGUGAAAUGCGUAGAUAUCGAGAGGAACACCUGCGGCGAAGGCGGGUUGCUGGGCCGACACUGACGCUGAUGCGCGAAAGCCAGGGGAGCGAACGGG